UACAGAGGGUGCAAGCGUUAAUCGGAAUUACUGGGCGUAAAGCGUGCGUAGACGGUUACAUAAGUCGGGUGUGAAAGCCCCGGGCUCAACCUGGGAAUUGCAUUCGAGACUGCGUAGCUAGGGUGCGGAAGAGGGAAGCGGAAUUUCCGGUGUAGCGGCGAAAUGCGUAGAUAUCGGAAGGAACACCAGUGGCGAAAGCGGCUUCCUGGUCCAGCACCGACGUUCAGGCACGAAAGCGUGGGGAGCAAACAGG
rnacentral:rRNA from 1 species